ensembl:snoRNA
AGCAAGUGAUGUCUUUUCUAAUGAUCAUCUGUGGAUGAAACUAUGGGCAGUACCAAUGAUGCCAAAGGCUCAGCAGAUACCAGGAA